AGUGAACGCUGGCGGUAGGCCUAACACAUGCAAGUCGAACGGCAGCACAGGAGAGCUUGCUCUCUGGGUGGCGAGUGGCGAACGGGUGAGGAAUACAUCGGAAUCUACUUUUUCGUGGGUGAUAACGUAGGGAAACUUACGCUAAUACCGCAUACGACCUACGGGUGAAAGCAGGGGACCUUCGGGCCUUGCGCGAUUGAAUGAGCCGAUGUCGGAUUAGCUAGUUGGCGGGGUAAAGGCCCACCAAGGCGACGAUCCGUAGCUGGUCUGAGCGGAUGAUCAGCCAGACUGGAACUGAGACACGGUCCAGACUCCUACGGGAGGCAGCAGUGGGGAAUAUUGGACAAUGGGCGCAAGCCUGAUCCAGCCAUACCGCGUGGGUGAAGAAGGCCUUCGGGUUGUAAAGCCCUUUUGUUGGGAAAGAAAUCCAGCUGGCUAAUACCCGGUUGGGAUGACGGUACCCAAAGAAUAAGCACCGGCUAACUUCGUGCCAGCAGCCGCGGUAA
rnacentral:rRNA from 1 species